rnacentral:rRNA from 1 species
CUACGUGCCAGCAGCCGCGGUAAUACGUAUGGGGCGAGCGUUGUCCGGAAUUAUUGGGCGUAAAGGGUACGUAGGCGGCCUUUUAAGUCAGGUGUGAAAGCGUGAGGCUUAACCUCAUUAAGCACUUGAAACUGGAAGGCUUGAGUGAAGGAGAGGAAAGUGGAAUUCCUAGUGUAGCGGUGAAAUGCGUAGAUAUUAGGAGGAAUACCGGUGGCGAAGGCGACUUUCUGGACUUUUACUGACGCUCAGGUACGAAAGCGUGGGGAGCAAACAGGAUUAGAUACCCUGGUAGUCCACGCUGUAAACGAUGUCGAUUUGGGGGUUGAACUUUGAGUUUGGCGCCCGUAGCUAACGUGAUAAAUCGACCGCCUGGGGAGUACGGCCGCAAGGUUAAAACUCAAAUGAAUUGACGGGGGCCCGCACAAGCGGUGGAGCAUGUGGUUUAAUUCGAUGCAACGCGAAGAACCUUACCUACUCU